ensembl:lncRNA PMS2P4 PMS1 homolog 2, mismatch repair system component pseudogene 4
GGCGGAUCGGGUAUUGAGUCCAUGGAGCGAGCUGAGAGCUAGAGUACAGAACCUGCUAAGGCCAUCAAACCUAUCGAUCGGAAGUCAGUCCAUCAGAUUUGCUCUGGGCCGGUGGUACUGAGUCUAAGCACUGCGGUGAAGGAGUUAGUAGAAAACAGUCUGGAUGCUGGUGCCACCAAUAUUGAUCUAAAGCUUAAGGACUAUGGAGUGGAUCUCAUUGAAGUUUCAGACAAUGGAUGUGGGGUAGAAGAAGAAAACUUUGAAGGCUUAACGAUGUCACCAUUUCUACCUGCCACGCAUCGGCGAAGGUUGGGACUCGACUGGUGUUUGAUCACGAUGGGAAAAUCAUCCAGAAAACCCCCUACCCCCACCCCAGAGGGACCACAGUCAGCGUGAAGCAGUUAUUUUCUACACUACCUGUGCACCAUAAGGAAUUUCAAAGGAAUAUUAAGAAGACGUGCCUGUUUCCCCUUCGCCUUCUGCCGUGAUUGUCAGUUUCCUGAGGCCUCCCCAGCCAUGCUUCCUGUACAGCCUGCAGAACUACUGUGAUGCCUGGAGCUGCAGCAGUGAUCUUGAGAUGAUGAGGCAAUAGCUGUGGUGGUCAUCUUGAGACCGUGAGGCAACAGCUGUGGCAGCCAUCUUGAGACCAUGAGGCAACAGCCUGGAGACAAAAGCCAACAUGUUCAAAAUGAUGCAGUAGAAAUGUUGGAAGUGGGUCUUUGAUUAUUCAUCCUUAGAUUCAAGGAUGGCCGUAUAAGAAAAUAAACAACUUGCUAAAACUGCUGAAACUCCCUCUGCUUGUGAGAUUUAAAAAAACUGGCUGAAAUUGGUUGGAACCAACAUGUCCAAUGGAGUCUGAAUAGAAAGAGCUUGCUGACAUCACAGCCCGAAUUUCCACCACAUUUCAUACUAACUCCCCCUGAAUUUGCAUAUGCAAACCACAAGCAAGCAUGAUCAAACAGACAACUGCGCGUGUCCGAGGACUUUCCAGAUCUCCCCUUUCCUUCCACCAAUCACUUACUAAUCUGAGAAUCCAUCCCCUAAUAAAAUCACUGCCUUAAAGCCUGCACAGGAAGACAAA